rnacentral:rRNA from 1 species
UUGACGGGACCCGCACAAGCGGUGGAUGAUGUGGUUUUAAUUCGAUGCAACGCGAAAAACCUUACCCACCUUUGACAUGGCAGGAAUCCCGAAGAGAUUUGGGAGUGCUCGAAAGAGAACCUGCACACAGGUGCUGCAUGGCUGUCGUCAGCUCGUGUCGUGAGAUGUUGGGUUAAGUCCCGCAACGAGCGCAACCCUUGCCAUUAGUUGCUACGAAAGGGCACUCUAAUGGGACUGCCGGUGACAAACCGGAGGAAGGUGGGGAUGACGUCAAGUCCUCAUGGCCCUUAUAGGUGGGGCUACACACGUCAUACAAUGGCCGGUACAGAGGGUAGCCAACCCGCGAGGGGGAGCCAAUCCCACAAAGCCGGUCGUAGUCCGGAUCGCAGUCUGCAACUCGACUGCGUGAAGUCGGAAUCGCUAGUAAUCGCGGAUCAGCAUGUCGCGGUGAAUACGUUCCCGGGUCUU